AGCAGCAUGGCGCAGUUGGAAGCGCGCGGGGCCCAUAUCAUGAUACGAACCUUGAUAAUGAGCGAUACCCCGAGGUCACUUGAUCGAAACAAGUUGCUGCCA